rnacentral:rRNA from 1 species
ACUCCUACGGGAGGCAGCAGUAGGGAAUCUUCCACAAUGGGCGAAAGCCUGAUGGAGCAACGCCGCGUGGGUGAAGAAGGUCUUCGGAUCGUAAAACCCUGUUGUUAGAGAAGAAAGUGCGUGAGAGUAACUGUUCACGUUUCGACGGUAUCUAACCAGAAAGACCACGGCUAACUACGUGCCAGCAGCCGCGGUAAUACGUAGGUGGCAAGCGUUAUCCGGAUUUAUUGGGCGUAAAGGGAACGCAGGCGGUCUUUUAAGUUCUGAUGUGAAAGCCUUCGGCUUAACCGGAGUAGUGCAUUGGAAACUGGGAGACUUGAGUGCAGAAGAGGAGAGUGGAACUCCAUGUGUAGCGGUGAAAUGCGUAGAUAUAUGGAAGAACACCAGUGGCGAAAGCGGCUCUCUGGUCUGUAACUGACGCUGAGGUUCGAAAGCGUGGGUAGCAAACAGGAUUAGAUA